rnacentral:rRNA from 1 species
UACGUAGGGGGCAAGCGUUGUCCGGAUUUAUUGGGCGUAAAGAGCGUGUAGGCGGCUUGGUAGGUCCGCUGUGAAAACUCGAGGCUCAACCUCGAGAUGUCGGCGGAAACCACUUGGCUAGAGUCCGGAAGAGGAGAGUGGAAUUCCUGGUGCAGCGGUGAAAUGCGCAGAUAUCAGGAGGAACACCAAUGGCGAAGGCAGCUCGCUGGAACGGUACUGACGCUGAGGCGCGAAAGCGUGGGGAGCAAACAGG